rnacentral:rRNA from 1 species
AUGCCAGAUGUAAUGCAUCUCCAAACCGACAUAGCUACUAACCCAUCUACAAAUAGGAGCCGUUCCUUUCACUAUGGUUCAUUCCACCUCACACACACAUACACUGGAGUACCCCCACCACUUUCCUUUUCACCUUCUGCCACACUUCUGUCCUUCACUGCGGUGAAGCCCUUUGGGUUGCAUGCUCCACCAGAACAAGAGAGUUAUGAGAACUCUAAGGCGAUAGACACUGGUACUUAUGAUGAGUCUGGUCAUCUUAAUGACUUCGGUUAUUCUGAAUUGGAGUAUGUUUAUGAGGAAGUCGACAAUCAAGGCUAUGAAGAGUAG